GUAGGUGGCAAGCGUUGUCCGGAAUUGUUGGGCGUAAAGCGCGCGCAGGCGGUCCUUUAAGUCUGAUGUGAAAGCCCACGGCUCAACCGUGGAGGGUCAUUGGAAACUGGGGGACUUGAGUACAGAAGAGGAAAGCGGAAUUCCAAGUGUAGCGGUGAAAUGCGUAGAGAUUUGGAGGAACACCAGUGGCGAAGGCGGCUUUCUGGUCUGUAACUGACGCUGAGGCGCGAAAGCGUGGGGAGCAAACAGGAUUAGAUACCCUGGUAGUCCACGCCGUAAACGAUGAGUGCUAAGUGUUAGGGGGUUUCCCGCCCCCCUUAGUGCUGCAGCUAACGCAUUAAGCACUCCGCCUGGGGGAGUACGGCCCGCAAGGCUG
rnacentral:rRNA from 1 species